CCUACGAUGUGCAGCAGUGAGGAAUAUUGGUCAAUGGGCGCGAGCCUGAACCAGCCAAGUAGCGUGAAGGAUGACUGCCCUACGGGUUGUAAACUUCUUUUAUAAAGGAAUCAAGUGAGGCACGUGUGCCUUUUUGUAUGUACUUUAUGAAUAAGGAUCGGCUAACUCAGUGCCAGCAGCCGCGGUAAUACGGAGGAUCCGAGCGUUAUCAUGCUUUAUUGGGUUUAAAGGGAACGUAGAUGGGUUGUUAAGUCAGUUGUGAAAGUUUGCGGCUCAACCGUAAAAUUGCAAUUGAUACUGGCAGCCUUGAGUACAGUUGAGGUAGGCGGAAUUCGUGGUGUAGCGGUGAAAUGCUUAGAUAUCACGAAGAACUCCGAUUGCGAAGGCAGCUUACUAAACUGCCACUGACAUUGAUGCUCGAAAGUGUGGGUAUCAAACAGGAUUAGAUACCCCUGUAGUC
rnacentral:rRNA from 1 species